AGUGAACGCUGGCGGUAGGCCUAACACAUGCAAGUCGAACGGCAGCACAGUAAGAGCUUGCUCUUACGGGUGGCGAGUGGCGGACGGGUGAGGAAUACAUCGGAAUCUACUUUUUCGUGGGGGAUAACGUAGGGAAACUUACGCUAAUACCGCAUACGACCUACGGGUGAAAGUAGGGGAUCUUCGGACCUUGCGCGAUUGAAUGAGCCGAUGUCGGAUUAGCUAGGUGGCGGGGUAAAGGCCCACCAAGGCGACGAUCCGUAGCUGGUCUGAGAGGAUGAUCAGCCACACUGGAACUGAGACACGGUCCAGACUCCUACGGGAGGCAGCAGUGGGGAAUAUUGGACAAUGGGCGCAAGCCUGAUCCAGCCAUACCGCGUGGGUGAAGAAGGCCUUCGGGUUGUAAAGCCCUUUUGUUGGGAAAGAAAAGCAGCAGGUUAAAACCCCGCUGUUCUGACGGUACCCAAAGAAUAAGCACCGGCUAACUUCGUG
rnacentral:rRNA from 1 species